rnacentral:snoRNA from 1 species
UGUCUCUGACCUGGGUAAAGUGGCAUCUGGUUGGUGGUACUUAUCUCAAAUCACACAGACAUAAGGCAACCUCUUGUUUAUCCCAGCUUGGCUUUUCUUAUCU